AAACCGGUGCGGCCUCCCCUGUCGCGUUUCAGGUGAUGAAGCCUUACGGCGUUGACUCGGAGCGGCCGGUUGGCAUCUGCUCGGCCAGACGUGGGUUGCGGAUGGAGAGGAGCGUGGCGGUCGCGUUACUGCAAUAAAGGGUUUUUUCCAGCAGCCCCUUGCCUGGGUCUCGUUUAUUGAACGCCAACCUUAACCCCAACCUUUCUGGUAAGCGUUUUUCUGUACGUAACUGGUAAAGUGGCACUGCUAAACUUACUGGACUUCUGUGGAAUUUAAUUACAAGUUGAAAGUCAGGCUUUGUACCAGCUUGCAAAGCAGCAGCCUGCUGCUUCUGUCUUUCUGUCUUCAGUAAGCUGUUCUAUAAAUGCUGCUAUAAAUACA